GGGUUGUGAGGUUAAGCGACUAAGCGUACACGGUGGAUGCCCUGGCAGUCAGAGGCGAUGAAGGACGUGCUAAUCUGCGAUAAGCGUCGGUAAGGUGAUAUGAACCGUUAUAACCGGCGAUUUCCGAAUGGGGAAACCCAGUGUGUUUCGACACACUAUCAUUAACUGAAUCCAUAGGUUAAUGAGGCGAACCGGGGGAACUGAAACAUCUAAGUACCCCGAGGAAAAGAAAUCAACCGAGAUUCCCCCAGUAGCGGCGAGCGAACGGGGAGCAGCCCAGAGCCUGAAUCAGUGUGUGUGUUAGUGGAAGCGUCUGGAAAGGCGCGCGAUACAGGGUGACAGCCCCGUACACAAAAAUGCACAUAUUGUGAGCUCGAUGAGUAGGGCGGGACACGUGGUAUCCUGUCUGAAUAUGGGGGGACCAUCCUCCAAGGCUAAAUACUCCUGACUGACCGAUAGUGAACCAGUACCGUGAGGGAAAGGCGAAAAGAACCCCGGCGAGGGGAGUGAAAAAGAACCUGAAACCGUGUACGUACAAGCAGUGGGAGCACGCUUCGGCGUGUGACUGCGUACCUUUUGUAUAAUGGGUCAGCGACUUAUAUUCUGUAGCAAGGUUAACCGAAUAGGGGAGCCGAAGGGAAACCGAGUCUUAACUGGGCGUUAAGUUGCAGGGUAUAGACCCGAAACCCGGUGAUCUAGCCAUGGGCAGGUUGAAGGUUGGGUAACACUAACUGGAGGACCGAACCGACUAAUGUUGAAAAAUUAGCGGAUGACUUGUGGCUGGGGGUGAAAGGCCAAUCAAACCGGGAGAUAGCUGGUUCUCCCCGAAAGCUAUUUAGGUAGCGCCUCGUGAAUUCAUCUCCGGGGGUAGAGCACUGUUUCGGCAAGGGGGUCAUCCCGACUUACCAACCCGAUGCAAACUGCGAAUACCGGAGAAUGUUAUCACGGGAGACACACGGCGGGUGCUAACGUCCGUCGUGAAGAGGGAAACAACCCAGACCGCCAGCUAAGGUCCCAAAGUCAUGGUUAAGUGGGAAACGAUGUGGGAAGGCCCAGACAGCCAGGAUGUUGGCUUAGAAGCAGCCAUCAUUUAAAGAAAGCGUAAUAGCUCACUGGUCGAGUCGGCCUGCGCGGAAGAUGUAACGGGGCUAAACCAUGCACCGAAGCUGCGGCAGCGACGCUUAUGCGUUGUUGGGUAGGGGAGCGUUCUGUAAGCCUGUGAAGGUGUGCUGUGAGGCAUGCUGGAGGUAUCAGAAGUGCGAAUGCUGACAUAAGUAACGAUAAAGCGGGUGAAAAGCCCGCUCGCCGGAAGACCAAGGGUUCCUGUCCAACGUUAAUCGGGGCAGGGUGAGUCGACCCCUAAGGCGAGGCCGAAAGGCGUAGUCGAUGGGAAACAGGUUAAUAUUCCUGUACUUGGUGUUACUGCGAAGGGGGGACGGAGAAGGCUAUGUUGGCCGGGCGACGGUUGUCCCGGUUUAAGCGUGUAGGCUGGUUUUCCAGGCAAAUCCGGAAAAUCAAGGCUGAGGCGUGAUGACGAGGCACUACGGUGCUGAAGCAACAAAUGCCCUGCUUCCAGGAAAAGCCUCUAAGCAUCAGGUAACAUCAAAUCGUACCCCAAACCGACACAGGUGGUCAGGUAGAGAAUACCAAGGCGCUUGAGAGAACUCGGGUGAAGGAACUAGGCAAAAUGGUGCCGUAACUUCGGGAGAAGGCACGCUGAUAUGUAGGUGAAGCGACUUGCUCGUGGAGCUGAAAUCAGUCGAAGAUACCAGCUGGCUGCAACUGUUUAUUAAAAACACAGCACUGUGCAAACACGAAAGUGGACGUAUACGGUGUGACGCCUGCCCGGUGCCGGAAGGUUAAUUGAUGGGGUUAGCGGUAACGCGAAGCUCUUGAUCGAAGCCCCGGUAAACGGCGGCCGUAACUAUAACGGUCCUAAGGUAGCGAAAUUCCUUGUCGGGUAAGUUCCGACCUGCACGAAUGGCGUAAUGAUGGCCAGGCUGUCUCCACCCGAGACUCAGUGAAAUUGAACUCGCUGUGAAGAUGCAGUGUACCCGCGGCAAGACGGAAAGACCCCGUGAACCUUUACUAUAGCUUGACACUGAACAUUGAGCCUUGAUGUGUAGGAUAGGUGGGAGGCUUUGAAGUGUGGACGCCAGUCUGCAUGGAGCCGACCUUGAAAUACCACCCUUUAAUGUUUGAUGUUCUAACGUUGACCCGUAAUCCGGGUUGCGGACAGUGUCUGGUGGGUAGUUUGACUGGGGCGGUCUCCUCCUAAAGAGUAACGGAGGAGCACGAAGGUUGGCUAAUCCUGGUCGGACAUCAGGAGGUUAGUGCAAUGGCAUAAGCCAGCUUGACUGCGAGCGUGACGGCGCGAGCAGGUGCGAAAGCAGGUCAUAGUGAUCCGGUGGUUCUGAAUGGAAGGGCCAUCGCUCAACGGAUAAAAGGUACUCCGGGGAUAACAGGCUGAUACCGCCCAAGAGUUCAUAUCGACGGCGGUGUUUGGCACCUCGAUGUCGGCUCAUCACAUCCUGGGGCUGAAGUAGGUCCCAAGGGUAUGGCUGUUCGCCAUUUAAAGUGGUACGCGAGCUGGGUUUAGAACGUCGUGAGACAGUUCGGUCCCUAUCUGCCGUGGGCGCUGGAGAACUGAGGGGGGCUGCUCCUAGUACGAGAGGACCGGAGUGGACGCAUCACUGGUGUUCGGGUUGUCAUGCCAAUGGCACUGCCCGGUAGCUAAAUGCGGAAGAGAUAAGUGCUGAAAGCAUCUAAGCACGAAACUUGCCCCGAGAUGAGUUCUCCCUGACUCCUUGAGAGUCCUGAAGGAACGUUGAAGACGACGACGUUGAUAGGCCGGGUGUGUAAGCGCAGCGAUGCGUUGAGCUAACCGGUACUAAUGAACCGUGAGGCUUAACCUUACAACGCCGAAGCUGUU
rnacentral:rRNA from 1 species